UACGAAGGGGGCGAGCGUUGUUCGGAUUUACUGGGCGUAAAGGGCGCGUAGGCGGCCUGCUAAGUCGAACGUGAAAUCCCUGGGCUCAACCCAGGAACUGCGUCCGAUACUGGUUGGCUUGAAUCCGGGAGAGGGAUGUGGAAUUCCAGGUGUAGCGGUGAAAUGCGUAGAUAUCUGGAGGAACACCGGUGGCGAAGGCGACAUCCUGGACCGGUAUUGACGCUGAGGCGCGAAAGCCAGGGGAGCAAACGGG
rnacentral:rRNA from 1 species